GCAGGGUUAGAUGGGAUAUUGGGAAGGAAUUCUCCCCUGUGAUGGUGGGAAGGCCCUGGCACAGGGUGCCCAGAGCAGCUGGGGCUGCCCCUGGAUCCUGGAAUGUCCAAGGCCAGGGAUGGGUGCACUGCUAUGGAAAAAGCAGAACUGGCCAAACCAAACCUCAGCCCAAACACUGACAUCAACCCAAACAUUUUUGAAGGUCAGGGUGAGUUUGGAUAAGUAACCCAUGUACCCAGUGGAAGGAUUAAUUGCAUGGCGCGAUGCAGAAAAUACAGGGAGCAACACUGGAAUCGGAGCCGAGCUCGUAAUUUUAUUAAAGCAGAUCAGUUGUAGCAUCUUAA